GAGGGUAUAGCUCAGUGGUAGAGUGCAUACCUAGCAAGCACGAGGUCCUGGGUUCAUUCCCCAGUACCUCCA
rnacentral:tRNA from 1 species